rnacentral:lncRNA from 1 species
CAGAGCCCCAGUCACACUCUCUCCAAGGGGAGGCGGGGAGGACACGGGUUGUGGGCCCCUUGAGGGAUAAACAAGGGCAGUGUCUCACAUCUGUCUGAGCUUCUAAGAAGUCUCAGAGAGAAAAGUUUGCCAAGUGACAAUGAAAAGACAGCAGCCAAGUCAAGGACAGAGGAGCUGAGCUGAAUCACCAGACAGCGGGACAAAGCGGGCCAGCUUCUCCCCGUCCUCUGCUUCCAUGGGAACCGGGUCCAGCCUCCUCAAGGGCCUUCCUGACAGCUCCGGCCCUGCCCUCUGCCCUCUGCCCUCUGGGUCCCGGCAGCGCUCCCUGGCCAAGCUCCUCAAGUAACCCUUGCUUGGUUAACGGGCAAAAUGCACCACAGCCAACUGUGAUCUUCAGGGGAGGGAGGGCCCGUCUGACACUGAUUCCAGGUGCUAGCAAAGCACUCUAAAAUAUGUCGAGGAGAGGCUUCAGAGAGAUUAACGCAGCACGACCAUCAUCUGCGGAGCCAGGCCAUAUGCCAGGGCGGCCAAGAUUUCCCCUGCAACACUGGUCUCACACUUCAACCAUGACCUCCAUUCACGUAUAUAUAUGUAAGAGCUUAAUUAGGAUAUAAUUCACUUGCCAUGAAAUUCACCCUCUAAAACAUACAAUUCAGUGAUUUUUAGUGUAUUCACAGAGUUGUGCAGCCACCACCAUUUCCAGAACAUUCUCUCACCCCAUAAAGAAGCCCCAUCCCCAUCAGCAGUCACGCCCUGCUCCCCAUUCCCCACCCUCUGCCCGGGCAAUCUGUCAUCUGCUGUGUCUCUAGGAAUCUGCAGUUCUGGACAUUUCAUAGGGAUGAUACAAUACUUGGGCUUCUGUGUCUGGCUUCUUCCACUGAGUUUCACGAUGUUUCCCAGGUCUAUCCCUGCUACAGCGUGGAGCAGCAUGCCAUUGCUUUUCAUGGCUGGCUAAUAGUCCAUGCAACGGAUGGACCACAUUUUGUUUACCCAUUCAUCACUGGACAGCCAUGAAGGUGGUUUCCACCUCGGGGCCAUAAUAAACGACGUUGCUACAGACA